rnacentral:rRNA from 1 species
UAGGGAAUCUACGGCAAUGGACGAAAGUCUGACCGAGCAACGCCGCGUGAGUGAAGAAGGUUUUCGGAUCGUAAAACUCUGUUGUUAGAGAAGAACAAGGACGUUAGUAACUGAACGUCCCCUGACGGUAUCUAACCAGAAAGCCACGGCUAACUACGUGCCAGCAGCCGCGGUAAUACGUAGGUGGCAAGCGUUGUCCGGAUUUAUUGGGCGUAAAGCGAGCGCAGGCGGUUUCUUAAGUCUGAUGUGAAAGCCCCCGGCUCAACCGGGGAGGGUCAUUGGAAACUGGGAGACUUGAGUGCAGAAGAGGAGAGUGGAAUUCCAUGUGUAGCGGUGAAAUGCGUAGAUAUAUGGAGGAACACCAGUGGCGAAGGCGGCUCUCUGGUCUGUAACUGACGCUGAGGCUCGAAAGCGUGGGGAGCAAACAGG